ensembl:lncRNA
CGCAACACUGGAAAACAGGAAGCUGGAGAAAGCCUUGGAGAAGGUUGUAGAAAAAGCCGUAUAUUACAGGAAGCUCUUUUCUCUGUGCCCAGAGGAGAUGCAGAGGGGGCCGCAUGAACAUGGUAGGCUCAGAACUGGAGUUGGUUCCUGUUCAUGGCAUUUUGCUUCUCAGCUCAACGAGAUUAUUUCUUGUUGAGGGUUUUUACUCAGCUUAACUUAAAAAAAAAGUUUCUUCUUAAGCCCGAGAGGGAAGAGAGAAGGCAGAGGAAGAAAGUCAAACGGCAGGCCUGCUUGUCCAGACUGGGUGGGAGAGUCGUGAGAUCCUGGACCAGACCGCUCAGCUUAUCCGUCUGAAACAGAAUUACCUCCUACCAUGGAGGCUGGAAUGCAGAAGAUGCCACAUGGUAUGUCAGAGGAAGAGCUGAGUCUGGAAGCCAGACCCACUGACUCCACCGUAUUAUGGUUGAUUUCCCACCAGAUCAGGUGGCUACCAGCUCUGCGCGGAUUCUUUACUGCUGAGCCACCGGGGAAGACCUCAGACAGAGAUGCGGCCUUCCUCAAAAGUAUCCUCAGCAACAAUGGAAUCCAUGGAAGCUUUAGCUGCAAGAGAGGCUGUAAAUACAAGUUCCUGGCCUUUUCAGUUUCUGCGGUUCUAUGGGGGAACCAAGGACUGCUGACAGAUGAUGGCUGAUGAAACAGAAGUUUUGGUCACAAUCAACGUGUUGCCUUGAUUUUCUUUUAAAAUUUCCUGUGCCAGCAAUCAAGUAUUGUUCAGUAUCAUAAAUAAAGUUGUCUCCGCUGGAAAGCUUCUGAAGGCCUAGAGAGAAAAGAAGAGCUGCCGGGUAUACCCAGUCAGAAUGAGAAGGGUCCUGGCAGCACUGAUUUCCCAAUUUCCUGUACCACAGACCCCUUCUCAUUUGGACUGUUCCACAGAAUUCUGGCAACACACAAAAUCCUGAGCUGCUUGGUUUUUCUGAAACCUGUCUGGGCUGAUGAAGAAUAGAGGCAGCCCUCUACCACGCUCCACUGGGAAGAAAAGAAAAACAAAUAUUUCACAAGGUCACUAGCUCACAGAAGGAACAUUGUCUUCACUGUCCACCAAAUACUCCUCUUCCAUUGUCACCUUGAAAGUGAAAGGGAACUCGCUCAGUCGUGUCUGACUCUUUGUGACCCUGUGGACUGUAACCUACCAGGCUCCUCUGUCCAUGGAAUUCUCCAGGUCCUGACACUUACAAGCCGCCUGGAAAGGUCUUCAGAAUACGGAAUUAAGUGAAUAAAUACACCAGGGGAAAUACAACGUUCUGUCUUCUUCUCAAGUACCAGACAAGCUAUAUUUUGUGUGUGCUUCGUUGCUCAGUCCUGUUCAACUCUUUGCUACCCCCUGGACU